rnacentral:rRNA from 1 species
UCCAGGGGAAGGUUCGUCCGCCCUGGGUUAGUCGGGACCUAAGCUGAGGCCGAAAGGCGUAGGUGAUGGACAACAGGUUGAUAUUCCUGUACUACCGAUAACCGUUUGAGAGAUGGGAUGACACAGUAGGAUAAGCUAAGCACACUGUUGGUUAUGUGUGCCCAAGCAUUGAGGCAGUCAAAGUAGGCAAAUCCGCUUUGAUAAUGCUGGGAUGUGAUGGGGAGCGAAAUUUAGUAGCGAA